rnacentral:snRNA from 1 species
AUGUUAGUGCACGGGCUUUACGCAUGUCAGUGAGGAUUUAUCCAAGACUGUGUUUUUGCUGGUUGCAAACUAUCUAGUUUGACUGCUUCGGUUGGUCUUCGGAUUGGUUGGAAAUCUUUUGGACCCUUUACUACCUUGCUCCUUGGAGUUCGAGG